UCAGAAUCAGGCUGUUUUCAGAGCUAUCUUUUAGCUACCAUAACUUGAAUUCCGUGGAUACAAUUUCAAUGAUUUUCUGAUUUUCUGAAAGCUUAGAAAGAGACCUUUCAAAUGGUGUCAUCAAAGUUUAUAUUUGAGAGAUAAAAGUAUUUGCCAAUUUGGCCAUAACAUGAAUAAAAUAAAAUAGCCCAUGGUCCAAGGCGGAAUAUUACAAAUUAGGGCCCCAACAAAAUUUUGGAUCAAAACACAUCAUUUGAAAGGUCUCUUUAAUUCUAAGCUUUCAGAAAUCAUAACAUUUUUGACAUUGGAUCAACGGUAUUAAAGUUAAUGGCUGUUGAAAAAUCAGGUUUGUUUUUAGAGCUAUCUUUUAGAGGCCAUAACUUGUGUUAGGAACGUCCUAUUUAAAAAACUCAAAGACGCAUUCUGUAGCUUUGAGAAAGCACUAUUGUAUAAAGUGUCUUAAAACCGCUAAUUGCUCGCAGUGCCAAAGCUCACUAAUUUGUGUGUCCUAUGCUGUAGAUGUAGGAACACGGAACCAUCGUCGGUUGUGUGCAAUGUAUUAUAGUCGUACCCCCGGGUUUGAAGUGUCCAUGGACUACUGGACCGUGUCAUGCAGCUGCUGGAGGUGUCCUUCACCAAAGAUGGCAGUAGAUACUUCCUCAAGGCAGCUGAAGACUCUACCUAGUUCCCGGGCCGUUGUGCAGAGGUGUGUGUACGUGGGAAGGUGAUUGGGAAACUGGGCAUGCUCUAUCCUGGUGUGUCUGUUGUGCAGCUCUAGUGUGUGUGAGACUGGGAGGUGUGUCUGGUGCAGCUGUUCUCACGGCCUCCUCCAACCAGUACCUGCCCUCCGUACUCUCCAGGGAGAACCUAUCUCCUCAGGUUAGUGUGUGUUCAUCAUGACCUCCUUGACAGUAUGUAUACCAUGCCAGGUGUGUGUUUAGGGUCAAUACUGCAAGGUCAUGUACUAUACAUAAUUAUGUCAUGUACAUAUAAUUAUAGCCUGGAUCCCAGGGUAGGCCGGUGAACGAGGCUAGUACAUAUAAUCCUUUUGUUUGUAGUUAGGGUGCUUUAAAUUUAGUAACCAUUAAAGAUCUAACAUACUCUUCUUGAGGGGAGGGGUAGUUAAACACAUUAUUUUAAACAGCCAUAACUUUAUUAUCGUUGAUCCAAUGUCAAAAUUUAUAUUAUUUGCUUAAAGCUUAGAAACAGACUUUCAAAUAAUGUGCUUCAAUCCAAAAUUUCUUUGGUGUAAUUUUUCGGCCUUGGACCAUCAGCUAUUAUCCUUGGUUGUGUCCAAAUUAGUUUUGUAGCUCAAAAUAAUAUGAACUUUGAUGGCGACGUUUGAAAGGUAUAUCUUAUAUACCAUUCGAUUCCUUGUUAAAAAACGCUUCUAUCUAUAUAUGCUGUAGAGCUGGUAAGCUCCACAUUUUGUGAUCUUGUGUGUGUGCAUUGGGUGCAUGAUGUGAGAUCAAUUUCAACAUGGUAUGGAGUGUUGUUAACAUGGAGGGUGACAUUGUAUGAGUGUAAUAACGUGCGACCCCCCCCCCACACACCUUUAGGCCUACUAUGCUGCUCACUUUAACUGACUCUUACGAUUAUUCUAGUAUUCAUAAUGUAAGUACGUACAUAUUGUAUACCAGUACAUGUGUUGUGUGUGGUGUCCCUAUAGUUGAGUGUGAGUGUGAGAGGCCAUAUAUAUAAGGAGGACAUACGUGUGUCGAGGCUGGAGGUGGCCCGUGUGCUGAGGGGAGAGAAAUGAGUACAAAGAGAAGUACCUCUCACUAUUGGAGCAGAUUAGGUAAAGGGUCAUCUUGUAGUGUUUGUAAAGCGGUCAUCAUAACUUUAAUAACUGCUAAUACAUACUAACACUGUGUAUCCAGAGGAGGUUCGACAGGUGCAGUGCAGCUCAAGCAAUUAGUCUCUGAUUACACGCUUGCAUGAGCGGAUAAUUAGUGUUCAUGCAAUCAAAGGCUAAUACAUACUAACACUGUGUAUUUGUACUAACAAUGUUAGUUGAUUAAUAAUAAUGUUUCUCUGUUGCACAGGAUGAGUGCUGACUCGGCUCUGUUUAAGUCCAAGAGCAAGAAAUCAAAGUGGCUCGACUAUUAUGCGGUCAUUUUUCAGCCCGGCCAAGUGUUGAGGAGACAAGAAGAGGCACUGAGAAUGGAGGUAGAGUUCCCAAGCCCCACCCCAACUGUCUGACUCGGAAGAGGAGAUAGACUUUGGAUUCUGGGAGAAGUCGUCCACCCUACCCUCGGACAAGACACCAACCAAGGACCUGAACUUGUUAUGAGACUGUUAAAUAUUAUUUUGUCUGUUUUUGUACUAUUUUCUGGCAAUGUAAUUAUGUAUGUACCACUUCAUGUCAUCAUAAUAACUAUAAUUAUAUGCGAUAAAAUUCUGUUGCAACUUAAUUUUCUCAACA